GAUUGAGUUUCAUUCUGGCUCAGGAUGAACGCUGGCGGCGUGCCUAACACAUGCAAGUCGAACGGGCGCGGCGUGCGGCAGGGGCCUCGGCCUCUGCGGCGCCGCGCGAGUGGCGGACGGGUGAGUAACGCGUGGGCAACCUGCCCUGUACUGGGGGAUAACACCUGGAAACAGGUGCUAAUACCGCAUAAGCGCGCUGUGCCGCAUGGCGCGGCGCGGAAAACCCCGGUGGUACAGGAUGGGCCCGCGUCUGAUUAGCUGGUUGGCAGGGUAACGGCCUACCAAGGCGACGAUCAGUAGCCGGCCUGAGAGGGUGGACGGCCACACUGGGACUGAGACACGGCCCAGACUCCUACGGGAGGCAGCAGUGGGGGAUAUUGCACAAUGGGGGGAACCCUGAUGCAGCGACGCCGCGUGGGUGAAGGAGCGUUUCGGCGCGUAAAGCCCUAUCGGCAGGGAAGAAGAUGACGGUACCUGGCCAAGAAGCCCCGGCUAACUACGUGCCAGCAGCCGCGGUAAUACGUAGGGGGCAAGCGUUAUCCGGAUUUACUGGGUGUAAAGGGAGCGUAGACGGAAUUGCAAGUCUGAUGUGAAAAUCCGGGGCCCAACCCCGGAACUGCAUUGGAAACUGUAUUUCUAGAGUGUCGGAGAGGCAAGUGGAAUUCCUGGUGUAGCGGUGAAAUGCGUA
rnacentral:rRNA from 1 species